rnacentral:rRNA from 1 species
GGAAGGUCCGGGCGUUAUCCGGAUUUAUUGGGUUUAAAGGGAGCGUAGGCCGGAGAUUAAGCGUGUUGUGAAAUGUAGACGCUCAACGUNUGCACUGCAGCGCGAACUGGUUUCCUUGAGUACGCACAAAGUGGGCGGAAUUCGUGGUGUAGCGGUGAAAUGCUUAGAUAUCACGAAGAACUCCGAUUGCGAAGGCAGCUCACUGGAGCGCAACUGACGCUGAAGCUCGAAAGUGCGGGUAUCGAACAGGAUUAGAUACCCUGGUAGUCCGCACGGUAAACGAUGGAUGCCCGCUGUUGGCCUGAAUAGAUCAGCGGCCAAGCGAAAGCAUUAAGA